UACAGAGGUCCCAAGCGUUGUUCGGAUUCACUGGGCGUAAAGGGUGCGUAGGUGGUUAGGUAAGUCCGAGGUGAAAUCCCACGGCUCAACCGUGGAACUGCUUGGUAUACUGGGUGUCUUGAGCUAUCUAGGGGCAACUGGAACAAACGGUGGAGCGGUGAAAUGCGUAGAUAUCGUUUGGAACGCCAAUGGUGAAAACAGGUUGCUGGGGAUAUGCUGACGCUGAGACACGAAAGCCAGGGGAGCAAACAGG
rnacentral:rRNA from 1 species